rnacentral:rRNA from 1 species
CAAGUCGCGGGGUAGACAGGAGUGCUUGCACUCGCUGACGACCGGCGCACGGGUGCGUAACGCGUAUAGAACCUACCUUUUACUGGAGGAUAGCCUUUAGAAAUGAAGAUUAAUACUCCAUAGCAUUGAGAUUUGGCAUCAAGACUCACUUAAAGAUUUAUUGGUAAAAGAUGGCUAUGCGUUAUUAGCUAGAUGGUAAGGUAACGGCUUACCAUGGCAACGAUAGAUAGGGGCCCUGAGAGGGGGAUCCCCCACACUGGUACUGAGACACGGACCAGACUCCUACGGGAGGCAGCAGUGAGGAAUAUUGGGCAAUGGAGGCAACUCUGACCCAGCCAUGCCGCGUGCAGGAAGACUGCCCUAUGGGUUGUAAACUGCUUUUAUACAGGAAGAAACAGUCCCUCGUGAGGGACCUUGACGGUACUGUAAGAAUAAGCACCGGCUAACUCCCUGCCAGCAGCCGCGUUAAUAUGGAGGGUGCAAGCGUUAUCCGGAAUCAUUGGUUAAGAUCGGCACGGUCGACUAAGUCAGAGCUGAGAUCCCUUCGGUAACUGAUGGCACUGCUUACGACAGCCGUUGAGU